rnacentral:rRNA from 1 species
GACGAACGCUGGCGGCGUGCUUAACACAUGCAAGUCGAACGGAAAGGCCCUUCGGGGUACUCGAGUGGCGAACGGGUGAGUAACACGUGGGUGAUCUGCCCUGCACUUUGGGAUAAGCCUGGGAAACUGGGUCUAAUACCAAAUAGGACCACGCGCUUCAUGGUGUGUGGUGGAAAGCUUUUGCGGUGUGGGAUGGGCCCGCGGCCUAUCAGCUUGUUGGUGGGGUAAUGGCCUACCAAGGCGACGACGGGUAGCCGGCCUGAGAGGGUGACCGGCCACACUGGGACUGAGAUACGGCCCAGACUCCUACGGGAGGCAGCAGUGGGGAAUAUUGCACAAUGGGCGCAAGCCUGAUGCAGCGACGCCGCGUGAGGGAUGACGGCCUUCGGUUGGUAACCUCUUUCUAAUAGGGACGAAGACGUGAGUGACGGUACCUAUAGAAGAAGCACCGGCCAACUACGUGCCAGCAGCCGCGGUAA